UAAGGAAUAUUGCGCAAUGGGCGACAGCCUGACGCAGCGACGCCGCGUGGGGGAUGAAGGUCUUCGGAUUGUAAACCCCUUUCGGCAGGGAAGAUGGAACGGGUAACCGUUCGGACGGUACCUGCAGAAGCAGCCACGGCUAACUUCGUGCCAGCAGCCGCGGUAAUACGAAGGUGGCAAGCGUUGUUCGGAUUUACUGGGCGUACAGGGAGCGUAGGCGGUUGGGUAAGCCCUCCGUGAAAUCUCCGGGCCUAACCCGGAAAGUGCGGAGGGGACUGCUCGGCUAGAGGAUGGGAGAGGAGCGCGGAAUUCCCGGUGUAGCGGUGAAAUGCGUAGAGAUCGGGAGGAAGGCCGGUGGCGAAGGCGGCGCUCUGGAACGUUUCUGACGCUGAGGCUCGAAAGCGUGGGGAGCAAACAGGAUUAGAUACCCAUGUAGUCCCUGAGCGGGCUGGCAAGGCGCAU
rnacentral:rRNA from 1 species